UCUAAUCAAACGAGGACUAGUAGCUUUAAUUUUUGCUUCAGAGACCACAUGGUGCUGUGAAUGUGGGUAAUGGAUUGAGUGAACUCACCUCAUAAUGAGCAAUGCUGAACCGAGUAGGCGUUGACGUUUUCCGCGUUAAGGAGUCAAGAGCUACGUUUUAACGUAGAAUACGGGUGGUACCGCGGCUAGUUUCGUCCUGUAG
rnacentral:ncRNA from 1 species